GAUGAACGCUAGCGGCAGGCCUAACACAUGCAAGUCGAGGGGCAGCACAGAAACAGCAAUGUUUUGGUGGCGACCGGCGGACGGGUGCGUAACGCGUAUGCAACCUACCUUUAACAGGGGGAUAACGGAGAGAAAUUUCCACUAAUACCCCAUAACAUCGAUCAAGGCAUCUUGAUUGGUUGAAAACUCCGGUGGUUAAAGAUGGGCAUGCGUUGUAUUAGGUAGUUGGUGAGGUAAUGGCUCACCAAGCCUACGAUACAUAGGGGGACUGAGAUGUUAGCCCCCCACACUGGUACUGAGACACGGACCAGACUCCUACGGGAGGCAGCAGUGAGGAAUAUUGGUCAAUGGGGGCAACCCUGAGCCAGCCAUGCCGCGUGCAGGAAGACGGCUCUAUGAGUUGUAAACUGCUUUUAAACAGGGAUAAAGCACAGUAUGUAUACUGUGUUGAAGGUACUGUAAGAAUAAGGAUCGGCUAACUCCGUGCCAGCCGCCGCGGUAA
rnacentral:rRNA from 1 species